CACAAACUAAAUCAAUCAGAUGCACUGAACUCUGAUGAACAAUCACCAGAAGAAAUUAAUCUUUUGCUGGAUAAGAUUUUGUCAGCUGGAUAUGGUGAGAGAAAAAUGACUUCGGUGAGGGAAUUAAUUAGUGCCUCUGCUUUUGGUCAGGUAAUCCACAAGAAGGAUCAGCUCAUCUAGUAAGUAAUCCAGGCUGUGCACUGUACUCCAGAAUCUGACAUGAUUCAGGUCAAGGGAACCAAAUAAUGAUUUCUCAUGACACUGGCAAUGAAAUCAAACAUAAAAAGAACCAUGCUGCAUAUGUAGAUAGCACAGAUGCUGAGAUCAAUUGCAACUCCUGCUUCUGGCUGAUCUCACAGGUGCCUCAUAUAGAUUAUCCAACCAUAUCAUUUCUGCAGAUUUAGGGGGAAAGAAUCAUAGCCUGAGUGAUCAUUGAGUUAUUCAUAGCAAAACUACAAAAGAGGAAUCAACUCAUUGGAGAUGGAGAGCAAUGGCCAUCAACAAGUAAAGUAGCAAGCAAACUUUUUAGGAAGAACUGGUUGAAUUAUUGUCUCAUCUUAUUAAUAUUCAUUCGAUCUUAUUGAAAGAGAAAGCUCACAGUAGUAGCUCAAGUCCUCACAAGAAUAUCAAAUCUAGAAGCUAAACAAGAGCACAGACACAAUAAACCUACUUAAUAGCUAUGCUUCAUGGAGAUGAUGCCAUCACAUCCAUCACUGAUGAAUUCCUUCCAAUGUUUAGUUGGAGGGAACUCGAAACUUCUCAAAUCGAGCUCCGGUCUCAUUGUAAGUCUUCAAUCCGAUCAAGCUGUUGAACUCCUCAAAUGUGGUGAGCUUGUCGAGUUGGCCUCUGCUGGUACCCUCUUCCUUCAUUACUUUGAGUACGUCGAUCAAGGCACGAGCAGAGGCAUAGACGGCUGUGGUGGAGUGCACGAUGAGAUGGAAGCCCAA